rnacentral:rRNA from 1 species
GACGAACGCUGGCGGCGUGCCUAAUACAUGCAAGUAGAACGCUGAAGCGAGGAGCUUGCUCUUCUUGGAUGAGUUGCGAACGGGUGAGUAACGCGUAGGUAACCUGCCUUGUAGCGGGGGAUAACUAUUGGAAACGUUAGCUAAUACCGCAUAACAAUGGAUGACACAUGUUAUUUAUUUGAAAGGGGCAAUUGCUCCACUACAAGAUGGACCUGCGUUGUAUUAGCUAGUAGGUGAGGUAAUGGCUCACCUAGGCGACGAUACAUAGCCGACCUGAGAGGGUGAUCGGCCACACUGGGACUGAGACACGGCCCAGACUCCCACGGGAGGCAGCAGUAGGGAAUCUGCGGCAAUGGGGGCAACCCUGACCGAGCAACGCCGCGUGAGUGAAGAAGGUUUUCGGAUCGUAAAGCUCUGUUGUAAGUCAAGAACGGGUGUGAGAGUGGAAAGUUCACACUGUGACGGUAGCUUACCAGAAAGGGACGGCUAACUACGUG